GAUCCUGGCUCAGAAUCAACGCUGGCGGCGUGCCUAACACAUGCAAGUCGAACGAGAAAGUGGAGCAAUCCAUGAGUAAAGUGGCGCACGGGUGAGUAACACGUGACUAACCUACCUUUUAGUGGGGGAUAACCUAGGGAAACCUGGGCUAAUACCGCAUAACACUUACGAGUCAAAGCAGCAAUGCGCUGAAAGAGGGGGUCGCGGCCGAUUAGCUAGUUGGCGGGGUAAUGGCCCACCAAGGCAGUGAUCGGUAUCCGGCCUGAGAGGGCGCACGGACACACUGGAACUGAAACACGGUCCAGACUCCUACGGGAGGCAGCAGUGGGGAAUUUUGCGCAAUGGGGGAAACCCUGACGCAGCAACGCCGCGUGGAGGAUGAAGUCCCUUGGGACGUAAACUCCUUUCGAUCGGGACGAUAAUGACGGUACCGGAAGAAGAAGCCCCGGCUAACUUCGUGCCAGCAGCCGCGGUAAUACGAGGGGGGCAAGCGUUGUUCGGAAUUAUUGGGCGUAAAGGGUGCGUAGGUGGUUCGGCAAGUCUUGUGUGAAAUCUUCAGGCUCAACUUGAAGUCUGCACAAGAAACUGCCGGGCUUGAGUAUGGGAGAGGUGAGUGGAAUUUCCGGUGUAGCGGUGAAAUGCGUAGAUAUCGGAAGGAACACCUGUGGCGAAAGCGGCUCACUGGACCAU
rnacentral:rRNA from 1 species